GAAUGCUGAGAUUCUCAGGUGGUAACCUGAAUCCAGCUGCUGGGGCCAUGAAGAAAAGCACAAAUUGCUCAGAAAACUUAGCACACUGAGUUACUGAAGGUGCGGAAUACAGUAAACAAAACUAUCCAGCCUGUUGCUUAAUGCAAGCUAUACAGAUGCCCUGCUUGAUCAGCUGGGGUAUAUUCAGACUUCAGUUUACGAAGGACUGGAUUGGCCUCACUAAAAUGCCAUGCUGUGCAAUGCUACAGAGUGAUUAGACUGAGCAAGCUAAAGAGCAUCAACAUCAAACUGGAGUUUCUGACUGGCAUCGCUACCUUGUUUGGAAACAGAACUGUACGUACUGGUGUCUUGCGGCAGGGAGAUGUGUAUUUAGUUUAUAUAGAAUCGCUGUUCAGCGCUGGCAACGCUACAGCAAAUGAUAAGGAGUUCUGUCUCUAUUAAAACUAAACUGCGUUAAGGCAAACAGUUGAAACGUAACUAUUUUGCAACCUCAUUCAAGUUAACUCCUUCUGUGUUAAUCCAGCUCAAAUUUCUGAGAUAACUCUCUGGAAGAGGUCAAACAAUCCACUUUUGUUUUUUAUUUUUUUUAAACCAGGCAGCUGAGAUAACUAUUAAUUACUUUGUAAACUUCCCUUAACUGAGUUACCGUGCUGGUGCAAAGCAUAACUAGCGAGGUAUGGGGUUAGCCUGGGACCUAACCAAGACCUCCUUAUGGCUAGGGCCACUAGAGGCUGUGCUGGGUCCGGGUACCCACAUGCCACCUCUCCUGUGCUCUCAGUGACCUUUUUCUCUUUAUUCCUCUCCCCUCAUGCCUUUGCUGAGCCGAGGAACAAGGAAAAGGGAGUUGCCUGACUGGAAAGCGGUGGACGUGAUGGUGGUUUGAGACGGUCUCUCUUCCUGAGGAGAGCUAGCUGCUGCGCAGUGCAAUCGUGUUCUCUUCUAUGGAGCGAACAACUGAUAAACGUGCAACUUGCAACGAAGGAACUAAAGAUAAUAUUGCGCUUGGGAUUCGCGGAGGAAUCUGCCAGCUCAGCCUGGUCAGCAGAUGCUCCCUAGAAAAACACUGCCGUUCCUGGCCCACAUGUGAAUUCCUCAAAACAAGAUCAUUAUUUGAAGACCACUUGCCACGAUAAUAUGGUGAUGGUGUUUCUACCUUCCCACACUUCCCA
rnacentral:lncRNA from 1 species